UCCCAGGGGCUCCUGCUGAAAGACUGAGGAGGUGGAUAAAGCUCAAGGCACUGGCUGCUGUUUGAGGAAGAAGUUCCUUGAAACCAGACGUCCACAAGGCUGCAGAAACCGCGUGACCCCAUUGGAGCACUUGUACACUUGGCCCUGGACAAGAAGGCCCAGCGCGGUUUGCAAAUGGCAUUGGGAUGCUUGGUACGGCUGCACUCGUCUCUGAGCCACUCUCCCUUCGUAGAAGCUCUUCUUGAAGACCUCUUCACAUCUAAAAUGUGCAUAAAUAUUCAGAGGAAGUGGCGUGAGACCACGGGGUCUCGGAAAACGAGUCUGAAUGCUGGUGCAGCAGCCAGGAGACCUUCCGUGCAUUUUCAUCAGAGAAUUGCCUGGGAAAUGUGAUGGGCUGGCAGUUUCGGGGCUUCGAGCUGUCCAUUAAUCCAGAGAAGAGAGUUUAAUAAACUGCAGAUCCUCUUUGAA